CCCCCCCACGACGUCUGCGGAUGGUUCGGCCCAGGGAGCGGUCCCUGUUCCCAAGGCCCGGCUCUUCUCCGGCUGCUAUAAAUAUCCCCCGUAUUUCCACACGGUUCCAUGCGGAGGUUCUCACAGUGGCGUCUCCGGCCGUCAGCACGCACGCCGCAUAGCUUACGGUUGUGCUCCAUUAUCGGCCGUCUGAGGAAUGUGCCGAGCUGCCGCGGACCCCUGCGGUGACCCCCGGCCCCGGCCCACGUACCAGCAGAUGUCCUCAAUCAGACCCUCCGCGUGGGACCAGGAGAGAAGAGACAGUCCAUAGGGGGUGGCAGGAGUCCGCUGUCACGAACGCCCUCCCCCGUCCUGCUCCAGCGCGGUUAAUGAACACCAGACACGCCCCACCCAUGGACCCGUGGCCCUCGCCCCCACGGUCCUUCAACCCGGCAGACCCCCUCGGGUGGAGACCGGUGCCGGCAACAGGAGGUUCGCAUUUAAGCGACGCUUCUCUCCAAAGCGGCUUAGGGUGUUAAACUAUUUACACAGCUGGGUAAUUUUACUGCAAUCCGGGGUUUGGACCUUACUUCGGAAUACCACAGCAGGAGGUGGGAUCCAAACCAGCAACCUUCAGAUCCCAGCGCUGUGCUACCAGCUGCCCAAUUGCAGGCUCUCCUGUCCCAGGACACGAAGGGGUUAAACUUGAGCCCACCUCAGGAACUAUCCACCCCGGAGGACGACAGCUGGACGCGGACCGGUGCGUCGCCCGCCCUGCCGCGCUUCGAGGGGUGGUGGGGUGGCGUUAAAUACGAGCCGCCAGAUUCUGCUGAGGAAUUCCCUCCAAGAGAUAAACCAUCUUUUGACCGGAGAGCUGAAGGCGGCACCCGAAACCGGAACCGGAAAUAUGUCGGUACCGCCUUCCUGUAGCCCUCCGCACUUUUUAGACGGGCCACGAACCCACCCAGCACCCACAGCACCGUUUACGGCCACGGAUAGAAUGGGAGCGACGGCCAGUCUGUUCGCAAGCACGGCACGGUUCGAACGGAGCCGCAGGAGACGACGGCGGCGACGAAACCCGAGGACGAGGCCGGGGACUGUCUGACCAAAAGGACGCGGUCCGCUCAGUUCCGAACACGUCCCACAAUGAGCGCGAACGCUGGGCUGAAGUCUGAGGGAACCGCGGUGAGGUUCUGCCCGUGAUGGUGUCCCACAGCCGAUCCCGGAACCAGCAAACAGGCCACCGCUUCUGCACGCGAGACCAAAGGAUGCUCAGCACGACCCAACAGGACCACCCCGCGCGCUCAGCGGAUCCGGGACCGCGUCGGGCCCGCUGGAACACGACCGUCCGACCACAAGCUGGAGAUCACCGUGAAGGUUGUGGCCCAUCCCUACCCACAGCGACAGACCUCCAUCUCGUUGUCUCCUGCACACCAGACAAUAUUUCCUUCCAUCAAGGACACAUGUGUCGUGUUAGAGCUGCUGCUAUUGGACCUAAGGUUGCAGGUUCGAAUCCC